UCAUAGAAUUUCUUUAAAUUCGUGAUGUCGUAAGGGUAAAUGAUGAUAUUACCUUACUAUGAGUGUCGUCCAAAGCUGGUGCCAGAAGACUCGGUAAGACCAGAGACGCAAACGUUAAUCAUCCUAAACAGGCGUAAAGGGUUUGUAGGCAGCUUUCAUUAAAAAACAUAUUGAAAGCUAGAAUCAAAAAGAGGUUAUAGUGUAUAACGUCUAGAGGAGGGCUGAUAUCCUUAGAUCCUAGGCAGAAUACUCAAGGCGAAGGCCACUCUCCACUAAUGAUUGACGCUAAGAAACGAAGGUUAGGGUAGGAAAUAGGAUUAGAUACCCCGGUACUCCUUUCUGUAAACGAUGAAUGGUAGUCAUUAGUCACGAAAAAAUGACUAGAGGCGAAGUUAACACAAUAACCAUUCCGCCUUGUGAGUACUACUGCAAAGUAGAAAACAAAAAAAUUAGUCGGUCUCGAAGCAAACGGAGUGAAGCAUGUUAUUUA
rnacentral:rRNA from 1 species